ensembl:snRNA U6 U6 spliceosomal RNA
GUGCUUGCUUUGACAGAAUAUAUGUGAAAAUUGAAAUAACAGAGAGAAGAUUAGUAUUGCCCUGCACAAAGAUGACACAAAUUUGUGAAGGACAAAAAAGGGUAUU